GGACUAUCUUGCUUCAGCAAUUCCAAGAUCGUAUGGUUCAUAGCAAAAUCAAUGUUGUGUUCCGCAAUGGUCACACAGAAUUCUACUAGUUUAUCAUGUUGCACAUCCUGUGUAAGCAUGCCUUUUCUGAGAACUGUAAGGAGUUGUGACGACACACUGUCUAGGUAAUCCCAUACACGAUUUGGAGGCUGGGAAUCACCAUGAACACUCAGGUAAAAUCUUAAGAUGCGGUGUAAACAGUCUAGAGCCA
rnacentral:misc_RNA from 1 species